UUCCAGACUCCUACGGGAGGCAGCAGUGGGGAAUAUUGCACAAUGGGGGAAACCCUGAUGCAGCAACGCCGCGUGAGUGAAGAAGUCAUUCGUGAUGUAAAGCUCUAUCAGCAGGGAAGAAAAUGACGGUACCUGAGUAAGAAGCCCCGGCUAACUACGUGCCAGCAGCCGCGGUAAUACGUAGGGGGCAAGCGUUAUCCGGAUUUACUGGGUGUAAAGGGAGCGUAGACGGCAUGGCAAGUCAGAUGUGAAAGCCCGGGGCUCAACCCCGGGACUGCAUUUGAAACUGUCAGGCUGGAGUGCAGGAGAGGUAAGUGGAAUUCCUAGUGUAGCGAUGAAAUGCGUAGAUAUUAGGAGGAACACCAGUGGCGAAGGCGGCUUACUGGACUGUAACUGACGUUGAGGCUCGAAAGCGUGGGGAGCAAACAGGAUUAGAUACCCUCGUAC
rnacentral:rRNA from 1 species